CACACAGACCAGCAACUACCCGGGCAGCAGGCUGAAGAAUGAUAUUGCAGCCAGGAACUCAACACAGGAGAGAUGGGAUGGUAUCAGGAUCUUUGUGAUGGCAGCGGUCAGAAUACAGACAUCACCCUUACAUGCCAAAUCCUGACACCUGGAAGCACACUUACGUUCGGGAGCCAGCAGUCGGGAUUCCAGUGCCGGCAUUUUUAUCCAUGUGGGGAUCCCGCACCAGCAUUCUGACCAAUGUUGGUAU